CUUUUUGUCAGUCGCCGCUCCGUUGCCGCGUCUCUCUCGCUCGCGUAUUGUCGUCUACCGGGGAGAAGAUGAGCGGCGCUGCCAUGGGAGGGAGGCAGAUGGAUCGAACGGGCAACAGCCACCACCAGCGUCGGUACUCGUCGGAUCAGGUGGUCGGCUGCCUUUCGAUUGCCAAGUGGAUCGAUUUUGAUUUAUUUCUCCUAUUUCCCCCCACCACCAAAUAUUCGAUCUUUUUCCCGGUGUCGGUGGUGGUGGUGUAGGUGGAGUAUUCUAGGUUGUUGAGCAUGCAAAGGGGAAUUAGCGGGGAGUUCCCGGUGCCGGUUGAGCCGUCGGCGCGGCGCUUAAGUUCGCAGUCGUCCAGCCAGAGGCAACACCGGGAGGACGUGUACUUAAACGGGCAUAGCCCGGGGCCUUUGGAUCUCCACUCGAUUGGCACUGAGCUUCUCCCUCAGAUGGAAAUUGCUGAAUUAUUACCUUCAAGUAGGAAUCCUUUACCAUUGCAGAACAAUCUUAUGAAAAGUCUUUCAGCUGAUAAAGAGAAGAUGAGUUCUGUAGCCAAAAUCAAAGUAGUGGUAAGAAAGAGACCACUGAACAAAAAGGAAAUAGCAAAGAAAGAGGAAGACAUUAUCACAAUUGAUUCAGGUUCCAGUUCUCUGACAGUUCAUGAGAUGAAACUCAAGGUUGACCUCACAGAGUACCUUGAGAAGCAUGAAUUUGUGUUUGACGCUGUGCUGGAUGAAGAUGUCUCAAAUGAUGAAGUAUAUCAGGAAACUGUGGAGCCGAUUGUUCCUGCUAUAUUCCAGCGUACAAAAGCAACUUGCUUUGCCUAUGGUCAAACAGGUAGUGGAAAGACAUACACUAUGCAACCAUUGCCACUCAAAGCAUCUCAAGAUAUUCUGAGACUAAUGCAUCACACAUACAAAUAUCAAGGUUUUCAACUGUAUGUGAGUUUCUUUGAGAUAUAUGGAGGAAAGCUCUUUGAUUUACUAAAUGAUCGGAGGAAACUUUGCAUGAGAGAGGAUGGUAAACAACAAGUUUGCAUUGUGGGUUUGCAAGAGUUUAGAGUAUCAAAUGUUGAUAGCAUCAGGGAACUCAUUGAAAAAGGGAAUGCAACGAGAAGUACAGGCACAACUGGUGCAAAUGAGGAGUCAUCACGUUCUCAUGCUAUACUUCAGCUAGCUAUUAAGAGGUCAGUGGUUGGUAGGGAAUCAAAACCAGCUCGAAUAGUUGGCAAGCUCUCUUUCAUAGACCUUGCUGGAAGCGAAAGAGGUGCCGAUACUACUGACAAUGAUAAGCAAACAAGGAUUGAAGGUGCUGAGAUCAACAAAAGUUUGCUUGCUUUAAAGGAAUGCAUUAGAGCACUUGACAACGAUCAGGUUCACAUUCCAUUCAGAGGGAGUAAACUGACCGAAGUUCUCAGGGAUUCAUUUGUUGGUGACUCCCGCACCGUAAUGAUUUCAUGUAUUUCCCCAAAUUCUGGUUCAUGUGAACACACAUUGAACACCCUCAGAUAUGCAGACAGAGUGAAGAGCCUCUCUAAGGGAAAUAACAAGAAGGAUCUCCUGUUGGCAACCACAAAUCUGAGAGACUCAACCAUGGGCCAAUUAUCUUCUGUAUUACCUGCUUUCUCUGACCUCGAAGACCAUGUUCCUGGUGGGAGAGACGAGGGGCAUGUAACUUCUGAAUGUUCUAAGCAUUCAAGGGUAAGCGGUAGAGGUUCAUCAACUGUGGGAGUGUUAGAUUCCUCUGUGAAUGUAUAUGAGCAAGCUAUACCAUCUCGGAAGGAACGCAAGGCAGAUGCACAUCCACAGUUGCCUGUGGAUAAUAAUACGAGAAUCGAUUCCCAUGUGAAACAGAAAUAUAUGCACAAAGGAGGUGUUGAUGAUUUUGGCUCAGAUGAUGAUCUAAAUGCUCUCUUGCAGGAAGAGGAGGAUCUUAUUGUGGCCCAUCGGAGAAAAGUGGAGGAUACAAUCAAUAUUGUUACAGAGGAGAUGAACCUGUUAGAUGAAGCGGAGCAAUCUGGUAAUCAACUAGAUGAGUACGUCUCCAGAUUGAAUGCUAUUGUCUCCAAGAAGGCAGCUGGAAUUGGAAGUUUGCAGGCCCAAUUAUCUCAUUUUCGUCGGCGUCUGGCUGAGCAGAAUGUUCUUGUUUCCUAAUCAGCAUUUUGCCAAAAUUGGUCGAACACACAAGAUCAUAUGAAGAUUAUGAGGUACAGAUUAAGCCAUAAAUAGCUGUCGUAAUCACCACAUGAUACAGCAGCUGGCUUUGAGAUGAUAUCUAUCUUUCUUUUUUUGCAUGGAUGUAAGAUCUUACUGUUCUAGCUAGAAAUGCCAGAGCAUAGAAGCUGCGAUGGAUACAGCUAGUCCUUUAAAUUCAAUAUGUAGCUUGCAACUUGGUGGAGAUAAUUUAUUGUUUCAAACUCUUACAAAUUAAUUUUAAGCUAAUUUACUCUAAA